GUGCCAGCAGCCGCGGUAAUACGUAGGGCGCGAGCGUUGUCCGGAAUUAUUGGGCGUAAAGAGCUUGUAGGCGGUUUGUCGCGUCUGCUGUGAAAGGCCGGGGCUUAACCCCGUGUAUUGCAGUGGGUACGGGCAGACUAGAGUGCAGUAGGGGAGACUGGAAUUCCUGGUGUAGCGGUGGAAUGCGCAGAUAUCAGGAGGAACACCGAUGGCGAAGGCAGGUCUCUGGGCUGUAACUGACGCUGAGAAGCGAAAGCAUGGGGAGCGAACAGGAUUAGAUACCCUGGUAGUCCAUGCCGUAAGCGUUGGGCACUAGGUGUGGGGGACAUUCCACGUUUUCCGCGCCGUAGCUAACGCAUUAAGUGCCCCGCCUGGGGAGUACGGCCGCAAGGCUAAAACUCAAAGAAAUUGACGGGGGCCCGCACAAGCGGCGGAGCAUGCGGAUUAAUUCGAUGCAACGCGAAGAACCUUACCAAGGCU
rnacentral:rRNA from 1 species